rnacentral:snRNA from 1 species
CUGACGGCAAACCUGUAGGU